rnacentral:lncRNA from 1 species
CCAAAUGUUAGUUCCCCAAACAGUUUGUCCUAUUUCUCCCUCUGCUACUGUCUUUUUGGCAUAUUUAACUGAUGGCAUAAUAGGAAUCUGUAUUUCUUCUAUUUGAUCGAUUUGUGACUUUAUUUGUUUUAGUUUUUGUAACAAUUUCGUAGUAUCUUUUAUACCCUGGGUGUCUUGAUACAAUUUCUGUUGCUCCUUUGUCUUAUCCAAAGCUGUUUUUAACUCAUUGCCAACAGACUGUAGGGUUUUAACAUUCCUUGUGUCUUUCUCCUUCAACCUGUUAAUUAGACCUUCGACUUUUUUAUCAAUCAUCUCUUUCAAGUGUCUGCCUUCUUCUGUUAUAGCCUGGAUAACUUUCUGUACAUCAGCUUGAUGUGUAUGGGUACCUUGAUCGAUUUCUGCUAUAUCAUGUAUAUUUGACUGUAGCUUUUUAAUUUUCGUUUCAACAUCAAUUUUUACUUCAGCCUUGAUAUUUUCAAGUGAUUCCUUAAUCUCCGACAGAUCAUGUUUUUUGUGAUUUUUAAUAGCACAUAUCUUACAGACUGGUAAACUACAUUCCAUGCAAUAAUAUAUAAAGUUUUCAUCAUGUUCUUUACAAUAUAGUUUAACUUCCGGGUUUAUAUUUGGGCCACUUAGAAAUGUGUGAUUCUUGCUCAUCUUUGUCCGUAAAUGAGAUAUUUUACAUCCAUCACAAAACAGCUGGUCACACUGUUCACAGUAGUUAUGUCCAGGACUUGAAACACAAAUUUCACACGUUUUAGAAGCAGCCUGCGCCAUUCUGGUUAUGUAGUGUAUCACAGGUAGAUAUAUAUGUGUAAUAGUAUAUUAUAAAUAGAUGUACAAUACCGAAAUGACAUCAAAAUUACGAAUCAAAUUAAAAGCCUAACAAAUACUGACGCUAUUUCUAUCAUACUUAUUAUUUAUAUUAUUUUCAUCAAUCAAUAUUUAUAGUUAUUAUUAUUUUUUAACUAUCAAUACAAAAUACUUUAAUUUAAAUAUUUAAUAGCGAAAUCUGAAUAUUCAUUUAUUGCUUUCCCAGUUAUCUUAUAUUUGAAAGGUAUAUAAUUCCUAUUUAAAAUUUUUAGAUUAAAAAAACAUGCAAAGGGGAAAAUAAAAAUUUACAAGUCAAAAUAAUCAUGUUUAAAAAUCCCGAAAAGACAAACGAUUUAGCUACAUGAACGUAGAAGCAUAUGUUAUAAAUAUAUUUUGUUGGUUGUUAGUCAAACCUAAAACAAAUAAUUAAAAACAUCAAAACGUAGCCUCAAACAUUAAUAUACUCUUUAGAAUAUGCUUCUUUUCUAUAUUUAUUCUUUUGUUUACGUGAGAUAUGUAUGCUAAAUGUGAAAAUACAACAAUAGUACAUGCGGGCAAAUUAGCUUUGUAACCGAGGGGUCACAAUAGAUCAGCCAAAGAACAUCUUCCUUAGACUUAGAUUAUAUCUUCAAUUAUAUAACAUGUCGUUUGUCCAAUCAUCAAUUGUGUUUACUUGAUCAUAGUAUAUGAUUUAAAGAUUGUAUACCCUUUUAAAUAUCAGAAAUAUGAAACUGGAAGACACUUUGAGUUCGUUUUUAUAUUAUACUUUUUUCAACCCUCCAUAUGAUACUCGUUUCACUAACAUGUAUAACAAAUAUUUCUUAAAAUGUCAAUAAAUAACUUUAGCUAUCAACUCCUCCAGACAACGUUGCCCGUAGAAAAUUUUGGCAAUAUAUUAUAUUUGUUUCUAUAUAGGCUUGUACAGUUAUAUAGCUCUUCGAAUAUUUAUGUACGGCUUUCAAUUGUUUUGUUUUGAGUGUUACUGGUGUUAAAAGUUCGGAAAACCGCUUUGACAUCAAAAUUGAUGACUUUAUUUUUUUUUAUAAUAAAAAUACACCAAAAGACAAACAGACUAAAAACACAGCAUGAAAAACUAAACACUGAGCAAAAAAACUAACCAAAACUUGCUAAAAUUUUCAAAGUGUUUCCAUGUGUGAAAUAGUAAUUUGCACGUCAAUAUUUUUGUGUCUAAUUGUACUAUCUUGUUAAGCUCAUAAUGUUUUUAUGAUCACUUUAUGACAAAUGUGUAUCAGAUUUCUUGAUAAGAUUCACAGAAUUAAUUCACGUGUAAACGAAUGAAUUGGGGUCAUGUGUGUUGUUUUAAUUAGUUACCAUGUAGUAGAUUAAGAAAUAUGAAAUCUGCAGACGAUAAUGCUAGAAUCCAAACGGAAGCACAUUUGAGAAAUAAAAUAAAUAUUUUUUUUUGCAUUUGUAUAUUUAAAGAAAGUGUUUAAUGAAAACGUAGAUAUUUGUAAUUGGUUAUAUUCAAAAAUCAAUUUUUAUAUUAAUUUUUAUUAAUCUUAUUAAUUAUUUUCCCGGGUUUUAAUCACGUAGGUUAAGUGAAAUUUUAGAGAUUUUGGGAACUUGCGGCAUACGCACGCUGACUGUUCAGAUAUCAAGAGGUAUAUUUUGUCAGUAGGAAAGAUUCUUAUGUAAAGGUCAGUUUGAUAAUUUUAUUAUACAAAUGUUAUAUGCUACUUAGUUACUUUAUUGUAUAGAUGUUGUUUUAUGUUAUAUUAUUCUUGAAACUACAUUUUUUAGAAUUAAUAUGUUUUUUAUGAAAUGCAUAAGAAUUGCCGAGUAGAAAAGCCUUGAAAUUAAGUUUCAUUUUUUUCUAGAAUUUGUUCGUAUGCUUUGUAAAUCUGUUAUAUAAUUCUUAUAUCUUUCCCGAAUUUGUUAACUAUUAUCUUCUUACUUUUCGUAAGCAGAAAAAUGAGUAAUUAGAUUUGUUAAUUAAUUAAGUCUUUAACUUGUAAUCAAUUUUAUUAUCCAUUUAACGGUAAAGAUUAUUUUCUUAUCUUAAUGUAAAUUAAAUAAAUAAUGAUCGGUGGUAUUCCCUAUUGUUAAAUGAUUAUCUCAGGUCAUUAUUGUUCCUCACACACGUGUUGAUAGUGAUUAAUGUAAUCCGAUUUUUCAUGCGCUCAGCAUGGGAUACUGCUGAAACCUUCUCUUAUCUUUGGUAUGUUAGGAAUGCAAUACGUCACGAUGGUAAUGACGUGCAAUAGAUGCCGGCGCAUCCUACUUGUUGUAAACAUCCGGUAAAUUGUAAACAAACGCACGUGCAUUUGUUGAUAACAGUAGUUGUGAAAGUUUAAGUAUUACAGUUGUAUUUUAUUUUAUAGUUUUGUAUAUCUUUUGUAAUCAGUUAGGUUUAGUUAUUAAAUUAGUUGUUAUUUGUUUAAACAGGUAUCGAGAAAUAUUAUUACGUAACAGAGGGAGUUCUCUUUUUGAACCUGAAUUGUACCAUACGCUGAGGGUAUGUUUUUGGUUGAAAUAUAUCUUAUAUGAAUAAUGAUUUGUCUUUUCACUUUAUUUCUUUAAUGAUAUUAUUAAUUUAAAAUAACUGAAUGAUGGGUAAUUAUGUCAUUUAAAAUUAAAACAAACUCUUUGUUUUUUUUGUUUGUUUAUAUAUUUUGUGUACUUUUAUUAUAGUAAAGUGAUAGAAUGCAUUACACACUUUGUACUUUUAAAUAUUUUAUUUCAUAGUUGUUACUUAUUUAGUCUAGUAAAAUUGUAGUUACAAAUAAUAAAAUUAUGUUUAUGUUGACUAGGAAACAUAUUUACUGUUAAUUAAAUCGAUGAUAAUUUCACGCUAAUUGAUAGUUGUUAAGAAGAUGCAUACGUUAUGUUGAUAAUAAUUGCUAUAUGUAUUUUGAUAUUUUCAUUUCAUGUCAAAUUAUUUAUGUAUUCACUAUUGUGUCUUUGUAGGACUUUACUUGCUAUUACGAUUAAAGCCAUGUCAACGUAAAUAGUUUGUUUUUCUGCCAUGAAAGAUCUCACUUUCACACAUGUCUUACUUGCACACUGGCAUAGGAUUGUAGGGACAAUUCAUUUAUUGAUACUAACAAAUAGUUUAUGCAAUUGAAUAAAUUCAUUUCUUAAUUUGGCAUAUAAAUAUUCGCAUACGCUUAGACUCGGUUAUUCGGUUUUCACACAUAUAUAUCCAGGUUUCGCGCCUUUUCUCUUGUCGAGAAAAUUCACUGAUUAGAUCGACACGUAUACUUUGCCUUCAUGAUAUGUGAUUAAAUAGAGUUAUCUCUUUUUCUGAUUGAAUUUUUUAUAUUUGUAGAUUUCCUACCAUUUUUCGGAGAUCCGGAGACCAUGAUUUACAUGACCAGAGUUGUCACAAUUUAUUAUAUUAAACUGGUCAGUACAAUUUCUCAUCCCAC